AAGGGUCCUUUUUACCAUUUUUAUUUAAUUGAAAAAAUGUUCCACUUGGAAAACCCGUAUUAUUUCUGAGGCUAUACCUGAACUAUUCCCCCACUUUUAAAAAGGGUAUUUAUUAAAAUGAAAACCAAUAGACUUUGUCUGUUUGUGAGUAAAAAAAACCCGUUAUAUCCCAUGCUUAAGUAACGAUGUGUCUUUUAAGUUUCUGCCCCCUCAUCUUUCUAUGAUGGUGUAUUGGACUACCAUGGGGGUAACGGGUAACAAAAAAUUUUGGUUCGAUUUCUGAAAGGGAGCCUGAAAAACGGCUACCACAUCCAAGGAAGGAAGCAGCCGCCUAAAUUACCCCAUCCUGACCCCGGGGGGUAGACACAAAAAAUCACAAUGCGGAACUUCAGUUUUGCAAUUGGAUUGAAAACAACGCACAACACUUAUCGAUAAACAAUUGGAGGGCAAGUCUGGUGCCAGCAGCCGCGG
rnacentral:rRNA from 1 species